UUGAUAAUGAUGAUAAUGAUGAUGAAGAUAAUAUUGAUAUUAAUAAAUUUAAAAUUAGAAAAAAACAUAAUAUUAUUUUGGAAAUGAUGAACGAUUUAAACUUGAUAAACGUUUUAUAGAAGAUCAAAAAUUAAUAAAAAUAUUAUUACAAAUAAUGAUGAAAUUGAUUUAUUAAAGGAAAAGGAAUUACAAUUAGAUAUAUUAGAAAAUAUUUUGGGAGUGCCAAUUACUUCAAAAAAUGAAAAUACAAAUAAGGAUGUAAAACUUUUAAAAAAAGGAAUGAUUAGAUAUGAUCCUACAGAAAAUGAUCAUAAAGAAUAUGAAAUUAAUACAGAGAAAUCUGAAUUAGAAACUAAGAAAGACAAAAAAAGAAAAAAAAUAAAAUUAAUAAUAAUGUCUUAAAUGAAAAUCCAUCUGUAGAAGUGUCUAAAGAUGUAUAUUUUUCAAUAUCAGAUUCAUUAUCAAAAAGUUUCAAAGAAGAAGGACAAUUUAGUCUACUGAAUACAUAUAGAAAAAAAAUAAAUAAGGAAAAAAGAGAUGAUAAUGAUAAAGAUAAUUAUAAUAAUAAUGAUAAUGAUAAUGAUAAUGAUAAUGUGUCAAAUAUGUUAUUAAAACCUCAAAAGAUUCACUUUGAUUUCAAUUCAAAGAAGUUAUUUAAAUAUGAUUCUUCUGAUAAUGAAGACAAUAAUAAACAAGAAUAUAUAAAUAAUGAACAAUAUACACACCAUGAAAUAAAAGGAACAAAUAAAUUUUUCUUUGACAUUAAUGAUAUUCGUUUUAAUGAGGCAGAAAAUUUCUUUUCAAAAGAACAUGUGCCAGAAGAUACAUUUAAAGAACUUAGACAAGAGUUAAAACAAAUUAUACGUUCAAAAAUUCGAAAGAAUUUGAAAAAAAAACAAUCUUGGGGAUAUAAAAAGAAAAUAAAAAGAAAAUAA